rnacentral:rRNA from 1 species
CGGACGUGGAUAACCUGCCUCACACAGGGGGAUAACAGUUAGAAAUGACUGCUAAUACCGCAUAAGCGCACGGCAUCGCAUGAUGCAGUGUGAAAAACUCCGGUGGUGUGAGAUGGAUCCGCGUCUGAUUAGGUAGUUGGUGGGGUAACGGCCCACCAAGCCGACGAUCAGUAGCCGACCUGAGAGGGUGACCGGCCACAUUGGGACUGAGACACGGCCCAG